rnacentral:tRNA from 1 species
UCCCUGGUGGGUCCAGUGGUUGGGACUCUGCGCUUCCGAAGUAGGGGGCAUGGGUUCAAUCCCUGGUCAGGGAA